rnacentral:tRNA from 1 species
GCGCCCAUAGCUCAACUGGAUAGAGCGUCUGGCUACGGACCAGAAGGUUGUGGAUUCAAGUUCUGCUGGGCGCGCCA